AGCCUAUCGUGUAAUGACCUCUGGUCUCCUUUCCUGCGUACCGCCAGUACCGCCCGUGCAUACCGCCACAGCCACCGUUAGCAUUAGCCGUUACGCUUUUUUGGCUGCAUUCUAGGGGCUUUGCUAAAGUUACAGGUCCAGUACAUUCUUGAUGGAUAGAAUCCAUUAUUCCCUGUUGCACACUUAAGUUUGAGUAUCUUUCAGAUUGGACAGGAGGACACUCCCUUUAGAGCGUCCUGUCGGCAUGAUGUUUUUAAACCAACCGUCCAUCUCUCUGCCCCAUGGCCUGUUUUGAUGCCCAGUGACCUGAGAAAGUCACUCAUGGUUUUGGAACAUGUGCGAGGCUGGAUUAUGGAUAGAGCCAUUGGGCCUAACGCCCCAGGACCUCGGACUGCCAGGGGCCUCCAAAGCCUUAGGCUGCGCACCCCAAUACUGCCAAAGUUAGUCAUUUGAAGAGGCGCAGGUGCUGUGCUGAGGGUCAAGGCGCUGAUUCAAUCUCAGCCCUCGAGAGAGAGCAAGAGAGAGAGAAGAUGAGUGUGAGGAAACGGACAGGGAGAGCAAACGCUGCAGAUGAAAAAGAGGUGGGAGGCUCACAUCUCACAGGUGGAGAGCCGAAGACAGACAGACAGACAGGAAGACAGGCACCAUAAGGUGUUUAUUUGGUUGCUAGAAGAUGGUCGAUAUUCCCUUAGGACUCAAACUUUGUAAAUAGCCCACUCCAGGGAAAGAAAGAGGAGUAGAUAUGGGCCCCAUAGGGAACCCGUGUAUUUCAGCAUAUAGCACCCCGUCUCACACAUGCAACACACUUAUAAUGAAGCUAAGAUUGGAUUUAUGGUAGUCCAUACUUCACCUCACACAUACGCUAUAUAGGUGAGCAGACAUCCAUUCACACAUAUGUCGUUGUGGACAUUACUGACCUGCGGCCCACUAACGUCUCCACACACUGUAAUGGUGACUGAUCUCUCUCUUUUUCCUCUCUCUCUUUCUGAUGGUUUCAGGAGGCAGAACCUGCUGCGUGAACAGGCGGUAUUACCAUACAAAUCAGCGAAGCAUUUUCUCCACGUCUGCGCUACACGCACACUGACACACACUCUAUCACACGCUGAUUUCGAAUUCAAACAUCAGAUGCAAACUCCAUUCUGUUCUUCUGUAACUAUGAAGGCCAGUUUGUAUCAUGAUUAUCACAACACAUAGACAGGACAUCACUGAUGCGCACAUAAUACACGACACCAGAGACUGACAGAUAGAUAGAGAGAGAGAGCGAUCAUGUCUGCAGUUACUCAGUACAUUAUGAGAAUGAAUAAAAUAAGAUUUUUGAGGUCUGAAGAAAAUGUGAGUGUCAUGGGUGUUUGCCACUGCCAGGGAGUUGCUGUGUGGUUGCUAGGGUGUUAUGGUUUACAUUUAAUCAUUUAGCAGACACUUUUGUCCAAAGCGACUUACAAAUGGGAACAAUAGAUGCAGCUGAAUCAACAAAAAACAAUAUGUCAGUGCUGUGACAAAUCCCAGUUAGUCUAGCACAGUACACGUAGCGAGGUGUUUUAUUUAUUUAUUUAUUUAUAUAUAAAUACAUAUUGAUGUAUAGAAAUUUGAUAGAGUUCAACAGUUCCCGCCCCCUUUUUCAGCAGUGCUGGUUCUGGAAGUAUUUUUUCCAUUCAUUUUUCCCAUAGGGUUUUUAAAAUAGUCUUCAUUAAAGAGUAAUAAGCCAUGAACCAAGCCAACCAGCUACGAGGUGAAUCAUAGCACUACAAACUUUGAUUUGAAGCAAAAAUGUUUCCAAUACCUGGCCCUGCCUUAAUGCAUUAUUGACAGGGUGGGGUGGGGACGUGAUCUGCUCAGAAUGCAUUUUCAAAAUCCACAUUGAAUUUUGCUACAUUGAUUGUGUAAUAUUUAAUGAAAAUGCAAUCGCAAGUGUCUGUGAGUAUAAAUGCAAUUAAAGACCCCCUGUGGUGAAAAUCAAGUUUUAAAUGUUGUUUAUAUGUCUAUGUGGUGUUUUUAAUAUUCAUAAGUCAGCACCAUUGCUGAGUAUUUUAUGUUUGAAACUGCAGUAAACCAAAGACAGACAAAAACCCGCGGUUUGAAAUCGGUUGUGUUUAUGACGUCACAUACUACUUCGUAACCAAUCACAACAAUGUGCCGGCAGGCUUUA